AGUUUGAUCCUGGCUCAGAUUGAACGCUGGCGGCAGGCUUAACACAUGCAAGUCGAGCGGAGAUGAGGUGCUUGCACCUUAUCUUAGCGGCGGACGGGUGAGUAAUGCUUAGGAAUCUGCCUAUUAGUGGGGGACAACAUUCCGAAAGGAAUGCUAAUACCGCAUACGUCCUACGGGAGAAAGCAGGGGAUCUUCGGACCUUGCGCUAAUAGAUGAGCCUAAGUCGGAUUAGCUAGUUGGUGGGGUAAAGGCCUACCAAGGCGACGAUCUGUAGCGGGUCUGAGAGGAUGAUCCGCCACACUGGGACUGAGACACGGCCCAGACUCCUACGGGAGGCAGCAGUGGGGAAUAUUGGACAAUGGGGGGAAACCCUGAUCCAGCCAUGCCGCGUGUGUGAAGAAGGCCUUAUGGUUGUAAAGCACUUUAAGCGAGGAGGAGGCUACUGAGACUAAUACUCUUGGAUAGUGGACGUUACUCGCAGAAUAAGCACCGGCUAACUCUGUGCCAGCAGCCGCGGUAAUACAGAGGGUGCGAGCGUUAAUCGGAUUUACUGGGCGUAAAGCGUGCGUAGGCGGCUUUUUAAGUCGGAUGUGAAAUCCCCGAGCUUAACUUGGGAAUUGCAUUCGAUACUGGGAAGCUAGAGUAUGGGAGAGGAUGGUAGAAUUCCAGGUGUAGCGGUGAAAUGCGUAGAGAUCUGGAGGAAUACCGAUGGCGAAGGCAGCCAUCUGGCCUAAUACUGACGCUGAGGUACGAAAGCAUGGGGAGCAAACAGGAUUAGAUACCCUGGUAGUCCAUGCCGUAAACGAUGUCUACUAGCCGUUGGGGCCUUUGAGGCUUUAGUGGCGCAGCUAACGCGAUAAGUAGACCGCCUGGGGAGUACGGUCGCAAGACUAAAACUCAAAUGAAUUGACGGGGGCCCGCACAAGCGGUGGAGCAUGUGGUUUAAUUCGAUGCAACGCGAAGAACCUUACCUGGCCUUGACAUACUAGAAACUUUCCAGAGAUGGAUUGGUGCCUUCGGGAAUCUAGAUACAGGUGCUGCAUGGCUGUCGUCAGCUCGUGUCGUGAGAUGUUGGGUUAAGUCCCGCAACGAGCGCAACCCUUUUCCUUACUUGCCAGCAUUUCGGAUGGGAACUUUAAGGAUACUGCCAGUGACAAACUGGAGGAAGGCGGGGAACGACGUCAAGUCAUCAUGGCCCUUACGGCCAGGGCUAC
rnacentral:rRNA from 1 species